CUUACAUAUGGCUGAUCCUUGCUAUGAUUCAGUGAUAAACUUACACCAGGAGCCCUGAUGUCCAGACCACUUCUCUCUUCUUUUCACAGUAAUUCCUUUUGACCUGUCCAGAAUUAAUUACCAUCUGUCUAAUGCUAUCUUCCUAGCUGAAGGAGGAAAAAAGCCAGCUAUGAAGUGCCCCUCACAGGAGAACAAGACAGCAUCUUUGAACUUGAGAAACUUGAAGCCAAUAUUUGAAGAAGCAUUCCUGUUUCUUCCC
rnacentral:lncRNA from 1 species